rnacentral:rRNA from 1 species
ACGGGAGGCAGCAGUGGGGUAUAUUGCACAAUGGGGGGAACCCUGAUGCAGCGACGCCGCGUGAAGGAAGAAGUAUCUCGGUAUGUAAACUUCUAUCAGCAGGGAAGAUAAUGACGGUACCUGACUAAGAAGCCCCGGCUAACUACGUGCCAGCAGCCGCGGUAAUACGUAGGGGGCAAGCGUUAUCCGGAUUUACUGGGUGUAAAGGGAGCGUAGACGGAACGGCAAGUCUGAUGUGAAAGGCAGGGGCUCAACUCCUGGACCGCAUUGGAAACUGUCGGUCUUGAGUGCCGGAGGGGUAAGCGGAAUUCCUAGUGUAGCGGUGAAAUGCGUAGAUAUUAGGAGGAACACCAGUGGCGAAGGCGGCUUACUGGACGGUAACUGACGUUGAGGCUCGAAAGCGUGGGGAGCAAACAGGAUUAGAUACCCUGGUA